rnacentral:rRNA from 1 species
AGUGAACGCUGGCGGUAGGCCUAACACAUGCAAGUCGAACGGCAGCACAGUAAGAGCUUGCUCUUACGGGUGGCGAGUGGCGGACGGGUGAGGAAUACAUCGGAAUCUACUUUUUCGUGGGGGAUAACGUAGGGAAACUUACGCUAAUACCGCAUACGACCUACGGGUGAAAGCAGGGGAUCUUCGGACCUUGCGCGAUUGAAUGAGCCGAUGUCGGAUUAGCUAGUUGGCGGGGUAAAGGCCCACCAAGGCGACGAUCCGUAGCUGGUCUGAGAGGAUGAUCAGCCACACUGGGACUGAGACACGGUCCAGACUCCUACGGGAGGCAGCAGUGGGGAAUAUUGGACAAUGGGCGCAAACCUGAUCCAGCCAUACCGCGUGGGUGAAGAAGGCCUUCGGGUUGUAAAGCCCUUUUGUUGGGAAAGAAAAGCAGCAGGUUAAUACCCCGCUGUUCUGACGGUACCCAAAGAAUAAGCACCGGCUAACUUCGUG